GGUAAAGAGCUGUACCCCCGCUCUGGGGGGUUUAUCAUCAGAAGGAGAGAGACCCGAGGGAGCCACCUGCCCACUCCAGAUGAGGUGCUCCGUGGAACACGAGGAGCACACGAAACCCGAUCAGCUUUGUGUGACUUCCGCGUGUGGGGUGGCACGCGUGUGCUUGCUAUUCAUUGUUUCUGCUGGGGGCAUUUUUAUCUUUUGAAAUUCUUUCUUCUGAACCUUUCGUGCCUACCAGAACCAGCCUGUCAGGAUGCGCCUGAUCUCCACAGCAGCCCCUCCAUCCGACUCUGAAGAAGCCGUCAGCUCACAGAAGAUUCCUUUUGUUUAAUGAGUAACAGCUACUGACUCACUCCAUGGCCCACCAGAAUGACAGACUCCUGUUCAAAAGCCUGAUCUGAAGUUGCUGCCAUGACACAAGCAAUGCCUGUGAAGUGCCUGCAGCCCACGCCUCUGAGACAGGCCAGGCGUGUGGUGGACACGCAGCUGCAGGCGCUUGCUCUCUGUCAUCACGAGAAAAAGUAUCCCUGCACCGGACAAGAAAGGACCUGCAGGCACACUCACAAUCAACUUCCUGAUUUCACAAUGAUGCGAACUCUCCAUCGGGACAUGGGACCUGGCUGUACGAGUUAAUUCAAACUGAGCCACUUUCCAUUAGGGCACCAAAUGGAGUUAGCAAUCCAAGAUUAUUUUAUUUUCUGGGCUAUCCAGAUGACUUAAAGCCUCGCUGAAGUUCCCAUGAGAAGAGUUUAAACAACCCAAAGAAAGCACAUCAUGGUCGACUGCAGGGAACUGAAACUACAGAAAUGAACACUUCCAAUAAGAGGCAACUACUGUUCUCAAACGGAAAUCUGACUUUAAAUAUAAAGUCACAGAUGGGUUGAUGUGAAUAGAUUCAAGAAAAGAUAUACCACACAAGCAUAAAGCAUAACAGCCUCAAGUGGGUAUCUUUCUAUCAGAAAAUAGAUAUUAAGACAAAAACAUUACCAGAGA
rnacentral:lncRNA from 1 species